UAAUUUUUAAUCAGUCAGGAAACAAAAGGAACAAGAGAGAGUGGAUGAGAAAAAGGGACCAGAUGCCUGGGGCAGGAGGGAGGAUGGAGGGAAGGACAAAGCGGUCCCAGUCCGGAAGGAUGCAACCGAAAGGCACCUGCUACAUUCGAGAACACCGUCGCGCCCUCCUGCAGCUUUCUUCCGGCCGAGGCCCCCCGGAGAGUCACUACUGCAUCUGAGCCCGGGGCUGUGGCUGCCGCAGCCCCUUGGGGACUCCCCAGAGCGCCGCAAGGGUCCCCCUGGGGCGGCGGUUGCGGCGGGCGGGUCCGGCGCCGCCGCCGCGUGCAGCCCGCAAAGCAGGCUCCGCAGUCCUGGAAGAUGAGCAGCCCCACCACGUUGACGGCCAGCCCCAGGGUGCCCACGAUGAGCACCAGCUCGGGAUCGUCGAUGCGCUCGGGCCUCGCGAGGCGCAGCACGGCCUCCACGAAGAUGGUGAAGCAGAGCGCGGUGAGGAAGACGGCGUUGCUGAGCGCGCCCACCACCUCGGCCCGAGCAUAGCCGUAGGUGGCGCCGGAGCCGCGGGUACCACGCCGCGCGAUGUAGCCGGAGCCCAGGCCCACGCACAGGGAGAUCAGGUCAGACAGCAUGUUGAACGAGUCCGAGAGCAGCGCGAUGGAGUUGCCCAGGUACCCCGACACCAGCUCGGCCACGAAGAAGGCCACGCUGGGGAAAAAAAGAGAGAAAUCAGCAGAAACAUAUCUCUCCUGCCUCCUGGUUAGUCAUUCUCCCAGCCAAGGGAAGAUAAGAAUUGUGUCACUGGCCCAGGAGCAAUGCAUUAAGAAAAGCCAGAGGCUGAGGACCAGGAGGUGUCACAGGUGUCUGAUGUCCCUGUCCUCAGUCAGUUCCUGACCAUAAGGAGAGUGACUUUCAUGCUUGCAUCCAGAUGUGGGGACUACAGGCUUCACACGCCUUCCCUCUCAUCACCACAGCCCCAGAUUUGAAAAGACAGUGAUGCUUCAACUUUGAUUGUCUGAAAGGUGGGCUUAGAAUCCUGUGCCACCUCCAGCCAUGUCCUGAAGAUGCUCUAUCCAGCAUGAGGAAGCCACAUGGACAGGUCAUCUGUAGUCUGUCUGGCCAGAGGUCCUAAGCAUCAAGAUCUACCAGACCAUGUGCCAGAUGUAAGUGACUGUAGCCUCCAGCCACAAAGCGUCCUCAGUCUACCAGGGCACUUCCAGCUUCUGAGUCUCCCCAGGUCAGACCUUGGACACUGUGCGUACAGGCAGGCUGUUCACACUGUGUCCUUUCCAAACCUGAAACUGCAGAAAAUCUGGGUAUAAAUUGGAGGUGUUUAUUAGACAGUAACCAGAAGAGCCAUGUGGCCACUACACAGGAGCAUCUGUGGAACUUGGAACUAUUUAAGCAAAGCCCAGAGAAACUACCAUAAAAUAUUUACAAUAUAGCAAACAAAACAAGAAAAAAUCGGGACUAUCGGAAUACUGAUUGGGAUCAAGGCAGGGCAGUGAUCCUUUGAAUUGGGCCUAGAGUAGAGGCUAGGUUUAACUAGAAAAUGCCUUUUGAGUGAGAAUAUCCAGCUCAGGGUGAGAGCUGACACGAUUUGUUUGGACAGCAGUUGCUUUUGGCUGACCCAUAAGACAUUGACUUCAUUCCUCUCCUUGUGAUUAGAAAACAACAACAAGAAAAUCUAUGUUUGAAAAACAAACAUCUGACCCAGAAAAGAACAAAGGCGGGGAAGACAGUCCAAUAAGGGCACCAGCCUUCCAUAUGGCGGCACAGGAAGGAGGCCAAAUGUAGAGCUUAAUUAAACUGUCAGGCCACUAGCACCCAGCCGAGCCUUCUGGAGAGCACAGAGCAGAGCGCCAGAGGCCCGUCUCUAGCCUCAGAGCUGAUGUGUAGUGCCUGGAGAAACAUAGAACACAAGUGGUACCUGAGCCUGGAAGGCUCCAGACAACUUCUGCUCUUGAAGUGACUAUGAGCCUAAUGCUGAAACCAACUUUAGGGAGCCACUUCCUGAGGAAGCAGAAACACAGGACCCACCAGUUCUGACGGAGGCUGACGAACAGAGGGAGACGCAGACAGAGGUACAAGGUCGAAAAGAAACUCAGUGUUCUCCUCCCUGCCUCCGUUUCUUCCUCCCUUCUUUCCUUCUCUUCCGUU